UGUUAAAAAUUUCAUCCAUUUCUAUUGUUAAAAACUUAGGUAGCUAACGGAAUAACUAGACAGUUACACAUGACAUGCCACGUGUACCUUAUGUUGAUAUACAGGAAUCAGUUUUUAACAAUAGAAAUAGAUGGAAUUUUUAAUA
rfam:Gossypium hirsutum cultivar TM-1 chromosome 19, whole genome shotgun sequence